rnacentral:rRNA from 1 species
CUGACGCUGAGGCACGAAAGCGUGGGUAUCAAACAGGAUUAGAUACCCUGGUAGUCCACGCAGUAAACGAUGAAUACUAGCUGUUGGCGAUAUAAUGUCAGUGGUACAGCGAAAGUGUUAAGUAUUCCACCUGGGGAGUACGCCGGCAACGGUGAAACUCAAAGGAAUUGACGGGGGCCCGCACAAGCGGAGGAACAUGUGGUUUAAUUCGAUGAUACGCGAGGAACCUUACCCGGGCUUGAAAGUUAGCGACGGAGGCUGAAAGGCUUCUUCCCUUCGGGGCGCGAAACUAGGUGCUGCAUGGUUGUCGUCAGCUCGUGCCGUGAGGUGUCGGCUUAAGUGCCAUAACGAGCGCAACCCUUGUUGUUAGUUACCAUCAGGUUAAGCUGGGGACUCUAACAAGACUGCUACUGUAAGGUAGAGGAAGGUGGGGAUGACGUCAAAUCAGCACGGCCCUUACGUCCGGGGCGACACACGUGUUACAAUGGGCGGUACAGAGGGUUGCUACCUGGCGACAGGAUGCUAAUCUCCAAAAGCCGUUCUCAGUUCGGAUCGGAGUCUGCAACUCGACUCCGUGAAGCUGGAUCGCUAGUAAUCGCGC